CGCUCCCUGGACAUGCUGUUUGGUUGCUUCGGUUGUGAAUCAGAAAGUUGAAGCUUAACCAGCUUAAUUGCGGUGAUAUCCACCAACUGGUUGUGGACCAGUUUUAAUUCAUCGUCUUAAGGACGCUAUGUUAGCGAGGCAUGUGGAGCUCCUGCGGGCCGCGUAUCGCUGCCUCGGUCAUAGCAGCGUGCGCUCGCAGACGUUAUGCUCGUCGUCUGCACCAACACGCAGGGACGGAGACGUCGAGAAGGUGAAACGCAACAUCGAAAACGGGCCGUCGCUGCAGCAUUUCAUCGCAAACUCGCUCAGCGAGAAGCAGAACGACCUGACUGAAGGUGCAGAAGCGCCUCAUCCCUACGUUCGAGAGCCGGACGUGCGAGUGCGGAACAGGAGCGUCUACUUUGAAACCUACGGAUGCCAGAUGAAUGUCAACGACACAGAAGUGGCCUGGUCUGUUCUGAAGAGCGCCGGGUUUACAAAGACGGAAGACGUGAAUGUGGCUGACGUCGUUCUCAUCAUGACCUGUGCCAUCCGCGAGGGUGCAGAGUCCAAAAUCUGGUCGAGGAUAAACCAGCUAAAGGCCCUCAAGAAGGCCCGCAGGAGGAGUUCAAGAGGACCCAUGCAGAUUGGAAUACUCGGGUGCAUGGCUGAGCGGCUGAAGGAGAAGCUGGUGGAGCGCGAGAAGGAAGUGGAUAUUGUGGCGGGCCCCGACAGCUACAGGGACCUGCCGAGGCUCCUCAGGGUUGCCACCUCGGGUCAGGUUGGGGUAAACGUCUUGCUGUCAUUGGACGAAACCUACGCAGACGUUGUUCCUGUCAGGCUGACAGAAAAUGCCAAGAGUGCCUAUGUUUCCAUAAUGCGGGGCUGCAACAACAUGUGUACAUACUGCAUCGUGCCAUUCACGCGCGGCCGGGAACGGAGCCGCCCGGUCACCUCUAUCUUGGACGAAGUUCGGGCGCUUUCGGACCAGGGUGUCAAAGAAGUGAUCCUGCUUGGACAGAACGUCAACAGCUAUAGGGACACGUCAGCCGAAAGUCAGGCGCUGAUCGCACGCCCCGCAGCGGGGGACGGACUCCUGAGUCGCGGGUUCCGCACCGUCUACAAGACGCAGUUGGGCGGCGUGAGGUUUGCGGAUCUCUUGGACAGAGUCUCCCAGGUGGACCCCGAAAUGCGGAUCCGCUUCACGUCCCCUCAUCCGAAGGACUUUCCCGAUCAGGUGUUGGAGGUGAUCCAGGACCGGCACAACAUCUGCAAGCAGAUCCACCUGCCCGCUCAGAGUGGAAACUCCCGGGUGCUGGAGACCAUGCGCAGGGGCUACACCAGGGAAGCCUACCUCGACCUCGUGGCCCAUAUUCGCACCUUCCUGCCAGACGUGGCCCUGACGAGCGACUUCAUCUGCGGCUUCUGUGGGGAGACGGAGGAAGCCCACCGGGACACCCUAUCCCUGGUGGAGGCAGUCCAGUACGACAUGGCCUACGUAUUCCCCUACAGCCUCCGAGAGAAGACCCACGCGCACCGUCGACUUGAAGACGACGUGCCCCUGGAGGUGAAGAAGAGGCGGGUGGCUGAAGUGCUGGCCAUGUUCCGCCGCCGCGUGAAGCAGCUUCAUGACAAGGAAGUCGGAUUGCUCCAGUUGGUCCUGGUGGAAGGGGGUGACAUAUGGACGCUGAGUGAAACAAGCCAGACAAAAUGACAACUUGAUGUAGCAAGGUGACACUUUCGUCGAGGCGUGUUUCAGUGACUUGUCUUACGGUCAGCCGACGAUCGGCCGCCGACCUGGCAGGCCGUAACGACAACAACACCAAAGUCAUUUUUCCCCAAUCCUUGAUCCCGGAGUCUUCAGGGUCUACGGUUCGGAGAGAAGUCCAACCUGGGGACUACGUGG
rnacentral:misc_RNA from 1 species